GUGGGGAAUCUUGCGCAAUGGGCGAAAGCCUGACGCAGCCAUGCCGCGUGAAUGAUGAAGGUCUUAGGAUUGUAAAAUUCUUUCACCGGGGACGAUAAUGACGGUACCCGGAGAAGAAGCUCCGGCUAACUUCGUGCCAGCAGCCGCGGUAAUACGAAGGGGGCUAGCGUUGCUCGGAAUUACUGGGCGUAAAGGGCGCGUAGGCGGACAGCUUAGUCAGAGGUGAAAGCCCAGGGCUCAACCUUGGAAUUGCCUUUGAUACUGGCUGUGUUGAGUUUGGGAGAGGUGAGUGGAACUCCGAGUGUAGAGGUGAAAUUCGUAGAUAUUCGGAAGAACACCAGUGGCGAAGGCGACUCACUGGCCCAAUACUGACGCUGAGGCGCGAAAGCGUGGGGAGCAAACAGGAUUAGAAACCCCAGUAGUCC
rnacentral:rRNA from 1 species